UACGUAGGGGGCAAGCGUUGUCCGGAUUUAUUGGGCGUAAAGAGCGUGUAGGCGGCCAGGUAGGUCUGCUGUGAAAACUCGAGGCUUAACCUCGAGCUGUCGGCGGAAACCAUCUGGCUAGAGUCCGGAAGAGGAGAAUGGAAUUCCCGGUGUAGCGGUGAAAUGCGCAGAUAUUGCUCGGAAGGCCAGAGGCGAAGGCGAGUAACUAGCACGCAACUGACACUGAGGCACGAAAGCGUAGGAAGCAAACAGG
rnacentral:rRNA from 1 species